rnacentral:rRNA from 1 species
GACGGAGGAUGCAAGCGUUAUCCGGAAUGAUUGGGCGUAAAGCGUCCGCAGGUUGCAGUUCAAGUCUGCUGUCAAAGACCGGGGCUUAACUUCGGAAAGGCAGUGGAAACUGAACAGCUAGAGUAUGGUAGGGGCAGAGGGAAUUCCUGGUGUAGCGGUGAAAUGCGUAGAGAUCAGGAAGAACAUCGGUGGCGAAGGCGCUCUGCUGGACCAUAACUGACACUCAGGGACGAAAGCUAGGGGAGCGAAUGGG